rnacentral:misc_RNA from 1 species
GAUGAAGAACGCAGCGAAAUGCGAUACGUAGUGUGAAUUGCAGAAUUCAGUGAAUCAUCGAAUCUUUGAACGCACAUUGCGCCCGCCAGCACUCUGGCGGGCAUGCCUGUUCGAGCGUCAUUUCAACCAUCAAGCCCCCAGGGGCUUGUGCUGGGGCCCUGCGGCUGCCCGCAGGCCCUGAAAACCAGUGGCGGGCUCGCUAGUCACACCGAGCGCAGUAGCACAUCUCGCUCAGGGCGUGCGGCGGGCUCCUGCCGUGAAACCCCCCACUGUAACCCCAAAGGUUGACCUCGGAUCAGGUAGGAAUACCCGCUGAACUUAAGCAUAUCAAUAACGGAGGA